UCUUGAGAAGUGCAAUAUUCAG
rnacentral:siRNA from 1 species